rnacentral:rRNA from 1 species
AGCAGCCGCGGUAAUUCCAGCUCCAAUAGCGUAUAUUAAAGUUGUUGCAGUUAAAAAGACUCGUAGUUGAAUUUCGGGGUUGGCGCAUCGGUCGUGCCUCACGGGGUAUGAACUGGUGCAGUCAAUUUCUCACCUUCUGGAGAACCGCGAUGCCCUUAAUUGGAUGCCGCGGGGAACCAGGACCUUUACUUUGAAAAAUUAGAGUAGUUUAAAGCAGGCAUUUUUGCUUGAAUACAUUAGCAUGGAAUAAUAAAAUAGGACGGCAUGGUUCUAUUUUGUUGGUUUCUAGGACCACCGUAAUGAUUAAUAGGGAUAGUUGGGGGCAUUAGUAUUCAAUUGUCAGAGGUGAAAUUCUUGGAUUUAUUGAAGACUAACUACUGCGAAAGCAUUUGCCAAGGAUGGUUUCAUUAAUCUAAGAACGAAAGUUAGGGGAUCGAAGACGAUCAGAUACCGUCGUAGUCUUAACCAUAAACUAUGCCGACUAGGAAUCAGACGAUGUUAAUUUUUAAUGUACUCG